rnacentral:rRNA from 1 species
GCAGCAGCCGCGGUAAUACGAAGGGUGCAAGCGUUACUCGGAAUUACUGGGCGUAAAGCGUGCGUAGGUGGUGGUUUAAGUCCGUUGUGAAAGCCCUGGGCUCAACCUGGGAAUUGCAGUGGAUACUGGGUCACUAGAGUGUGUCAGAGGAUGGUGGAAUUCCCGGUGUAGCGGUGAAAUACGUAGAGAUCGGGAGGAACAUCAGUGGCGAAGGCGGCCAUCUGGGACAACACUGACGCUGAGGCACGAAAGCGUGGGGAGCAAACAGGAUUAGAUACCCGAGUAGUCCCUGUCUCUUAUAU